rnacentral:rRNA from 1 species
UAAGGAAUAUUGGACAAUGGAGGGAACUCUGAUCCAGCCAUUCCGCGUGGAGGAAGAAUGCCCUAUGGGUUGUAAACUUCUUUUGGAUGGGAAUAAAAUGCCCCUUGCGAGGGGAACUGAAGGUACCAUCAGAAUAAGCACCGGCUAACUCCGUGCCAGCAGCCGCGGUAAUACGGAGGGUGCGAGCGUUAUCCGGAAUUACUGGGUUUAAAGGGUGCGUAGGCGGAAAUUUAAGUCUGGGGUGAAAUAU